rnacentral:rRNA from 1 species
GAUGAACGCUAGCGGGAGGCUUAACACAUGCAAGUCGAGGGGCAUCACGAGGUAGCAAUACUUUGGUGGCGACCGGCGCACGGGUGAGUAACACGUAUGCAACCUUCCCUGUACAGGGGGAUAACCCGGAGAAAUUCGGACUAAUACCCCAUGAUGAUAUUUAUGGGCAUCCAUUAAUAUUUAAAGCUCUGGCGGUACAGGAUGGGCAUGCGCGACAUUAGCUAGUUGGUAAGGUAACGGCUUACCAAGGCCACGAUGUUUAGGGGACCUGAGAGGGUUGUCCCCCACACUGGUACUGAGACACGGACCAGACUCCUACGGGAGGCAGCAGUGAGGAAUAUUGGUCAAUGGGCGCAAGCCUGAACCAGCCAUCCCGCGUGAAGGAAGAAUGCGCUACGCGUUGUAAACUUCUUUUCCGAGGGGAGAAUAAUCCUGUCGUGACAGGACUUGACGGUACUCGUGGGAAUAAGCAUCGGCUAACUCCGUGCCAGCAGCCGCGGU